GCGNCUUAACAUGCAAGUUCGAGCGGAAAAGGCCCCUUCGGGGUACUCGAGCGGCGAACGGGUGAGUAACACGUUGGGCAACCUGCCCUCAGCUCUGGGAUAACUCCGGGAAACCGGGGCUAAUACCGGAUACGACCUUCCCUCGCNUGGGGGUUGGUGGAAAGUUCUUCGGCUGAGGAUGGGCCCGCGGCCUAUCAGCUUGUUGGUGGGGUGAUGGCCUACCAAGGCGACGACGGGUAGCCGGCCUGAGAGGGCGACCGGCCACACUGGGACUGAGACACGGCCCAGACUCCUACGGGAGGCAGCAGA
rnacentral:rRNA from 1 species